rnacentral:rRNA from 1 species
GUCGAGCGAACAGAUAAGGAGCUUGCUCCUUUGACGUUAGCGGCGGACGGGUGAGUAACACGUGGGUAACCUACCUAUAAGACUGGGAUAACUUCGGGAAACCGGAGCUAAUACCGGAUAACAUUUGGAACCGCAUGGUUCUAAAGUGAAAGAUGGUUUUGCUAUCACUUAUAGAUGGACCCGCGCCAGUAUUAGCGUAGUUGGUAAGGUAACGGCUUACCAAGGCGACGAUACGUAGCCGACCUGAGAGGGUGAUCGGCCACACUGGAACUGAGACACGGUCCAGACUCCUACGGGAGGCAGCAGUAGGGAAUCUUCCGCAAUGGGCGAAAGCCUGACGGAGCAACGCCGCGUGAGUGAUGAAGGGUUUCGGCUCGUAAAACUCUGUUAUUAGGGAAGAACAAAUGUGUAAGUAACUGUGCACGUCUUGACGGUACCUAAUCAGAAAGCCACGGCUAACUACGUGCCAGCAGCCGCGGUAAUACGUAGGUGGCAAGCGUUAUCCGGAAUUAUUGGGCGUAAAGCGCGCGUAGGCGGUUUCUUAAGUCUGAUGUGAAAGCCCACGGCUCAACCGUGGAGGGUCAUUGGAAACUGGGAACCUUGAGUGCAGAAGAGGAAAGUGGAAUUCCAUGUGUAGCGGUGAAAUGCGCAGAGAUAUGGAGGAACACCAGUGGCGAAGGCGACUUUCUGGUCUGUA